rnacentral:rRNA from 1 species
GACGAACGCUGGCGGCGUGCUUAACACAUGCAAGUCGAACGGUGAAGCGCCUUCCUUUUUGGUGGGUGUGGAUGAGUGGCGAACGGGUGAGUAACACGUGAGUAACCUGCCCCCUUCUUCUGGAUAACCGCAUGAAAGUGUGGCUAAUACGGGAUAUUCUGGGUCUGUCGCAUGAUGGGUCUGGGAAAGAUAUUGUUUCGGUGGGGGAUGGGCUCGCGGCCUAUCAGCUUGUUGGUGGGGUGAUGGCCUACCAAGGCGGUGACGGGUAGCCGGCCUGAGAGGGUGGACGGUCACACUGGGACUGAGCCACGGCCCAGACUCCUACGGGAGGCAGCAGUGGGGAAUAUUGCACAGUGGGCGCAAGCCUGAUGCAGCGACGCCGCGUGAGGGAUGGAGGCCUUCGGGUUGUGAACCUCUUUCGCCAGUGAAGCAGGCCUGCCUCGUUUGUGGGUGGGUUGACGGUAGCUGGAUAAGAAGCGCCGGCUAACUACGUG